UGUUGAGCGCGCGUAAGAAGUGGUGC
rnacentral:piRNA from 1 species